rnacentral:rRNA from 1 species
CAAUAGCGUAUAUUAAAGUUGUUGCGGUUAAAAAGCUCGUAGUUGGAUUUCCGCCGAGGACGACCGGUCCGCCCUCUGGGUGUGUAUCUGGUUUGGCCUGGGCAUCUUCUUGGAGAACGUAGCUGCACUUGACUGUGUGGUGCGGUGUCCAGGACUUUUACUUUGAGGAAAUUAGAGUGUUUCAAGCAGGCACACGCCUUGAAUACAUUAGCAUGGAAUAAUAAGAUAGGACCUCGGUUCUAUUUUGUUGGUUUCUAGAGCUGAGGUAAUGAUUAAUAGGGAUAGUUGGGGGCAUUCGUAUUUAACUGUCAGAGGUGAAAUUCUUGGAUUUGUUAAAGACGGACUACCGCGAAAGCAUUUGCCAAGGAUGUUUUCAUUGA